GGACCUGACUGCUAUCGGAUUGAUACUAAGCCAUGCGAGUCAUUGUAGCAAUACAAGGCAUACGGCUCAGUAACGCGUAGUCAACCUAACCUAUGGACGGGAAUAACCUCGGGAAACUGAGAAUAAUGCCCGAUAGAACAUUAUACCUGGAAUGGUUUAUGUUCCAAAUGAUUUAUCGCCGUAGGAUGGGACUGCGGCCUAUCAGUUUGUUGGUGAGGUAAUGGCCCACCAAGACUAUUACAGGUACGGGCUCUGAGAGGAGUAGCCCGGAGAUGGGUACUGAGACACGGACCCAGGCCCUAUGGGGCGCAGCAGGCGAGAAAACUUUGCAAUGUGCGAAAGCACGACAAGGUUAAUCCGAGUGAUUUCUGCUAAAGAAAUCUUUUGUUAGUCCUAGAAACACUAACGAAUAAGGGGUGGGCAAGUUCUGGUGU
rnacentral:rRNA from 1 species